CCUACGGGAGGCAGCAGUGAGGAAUCUUGGUCAAUGGACGCAAGUCUGAACCAGCCAUGCCGCGUGCAGGAAGACGGCCCUAUGAGUUGUAAACUGCUUUUGUACGAGGGUAAAUGCAGAUACGUAUCUCUGUAUGACAGUAUCGUACGAAUAAGGAUCGGCUAACUCCGUGCCAGCAGCCGCGGUAAUACGGAGGAUUCAUGCGUUAUCCGGAUUUAUUGGGUUGAAAGGGUGCGUAGGCGGUCGGAUAAGUUAGAGGUGAAAUCACGGGGCUCAACUUGGGAAUUGCCUCUGAUACUGUUCGGCUAGAGAGUAGUUGCGGUAGGCGGAAUGUAGGGGGUAGCGGUGAAAUGCGUAGAGAUCAGGAAGAACACCGAUGGCGAAGGCAGCUUAC
rnacentral:rRNA from 1 species